UUCAAGCCGCAGCCCUCAAAACAUACAUCACGCCACGAUCCCCUUCCUGUUCCCCACGCACGGGCGGUUGCCGCCGGCGUCGCCGCCGCCGCCUUCCUCGCUGAGUCCGCGGCCGAAAUCCACGCCGGGAGAAGAGGUAUCUAUCCCUCCGACGCCUUCCUCUCCCUCAAGCCUCGACCUCGCCGGCAUCCCUCCUCCCGUUCCAAGUCCAGGAGACGCAUGGGGACGGCGGCGGUGGCGAGGCGUCUCGCGCGCACGGACACCCCACCCUACGCCUGCUCGUGCGCGCUGCCCUGCGAGGUUUAGGCAUCGCGCCUGCUGCGCUCCCCUGUGGCGAUGAUGUGGCUUACUGCUGCCAUACGGCGCCUCAUCGAGGAGUAGAGCAGCUGCCCCAUGCUAGACAAGAUCCUCCAGAUCCUCUCCACCCAGCCGCCAUCAUUGCAGGAGGACUUUAACGAGUGGUCACCAAGAAGCUUCCCCAAAUCCUACAAGAGGCUCAGUUUAAUUGUGUGAUUGCUGAGUGGUCCAGUGAGUAGUGCUUCUAUAAGCAAGGGAAUGAUAGAAUGAUGCACGAUUCUGCAGGUUAGACGAGCCGCUGACAAAGACACACCUCUAUUCUGAAUUUUUACAUGCGAAGAUGGACCAUCAGCUACGGAAUAUGUUGGCUAACCUCUCGCAGGUUGCUAACAAUUUUUUUCUUAUUGUCAUCUUGGUAAUUGACAUUGGUGGUAUUGUCUUUUAGUUCAACAGAAAGUUGUUCAAGUGAAAAUUCAGAGGAACAUGUGGAACAAAAGACAUGGUAUAAAAAGGAAAGGAAAGACUAAACAGUACAAUGAUGCAGGUUUGGAGCCGACCAAGGAAGUCACAGUUUAAGAGCUCGAGGAGGGGUGUGUGGAGGUUGCCGGCGCCAGUGGCUGCACUGCUGGUCUUCAUCGCCUGUUUCGGUCAGAUCCAGUCGGACCUAUCCUAUGGGUUCUCCACCGCUUCACUCUGCUUCAUGUGCAUCUGGGCGGAGAAGAUGACCCGACCUGCCUGGUCGCUCAACACUGCCUCCCUGCCCCUGUUGUUCGCCAGCCACACUCUCCCUUACGCGCAGAAUGUCCAUCAUCACAGAAUCUUAGCUGAUAGACGGUGCGCUUUUUGGCGGAAGCUGAGACAAAGAUUUCUAUUCACCAAAAAGAUAGAGCCGCCAUCAGCAAGCACUGACGAGUAGCACAGUCUCAGCCGAUGCAUCGACGAGCUGAGGCGGGCUUCCAAUAGAGAUCAGAAACAGGGAAUGGCCUUUUGAGCUGGUAGAGGGAUCACUAGACGUGGUGUUCAUGUUUGUGUUGGCUUACAUGCAGAAAUAAGGAGGAUAGUAAGACUCUUGGAGGUCAUGUCUCUGCCAUUCAAGGAUUUCGAUAUCUGAAUGUUAUGACAAUAUAUAGAUAAGGGAGAUAGCCCUCCGCGUCCUGGUGGUUACUGUAUGCUGCAGCGAAGGGCACACUUCAAUUAUUGUGCAGGCAGAUGCGGUGAUCCCGGGUGUGCUUUGAAUAGAUAUCAAGGACGUCAUUACCCGAGCCGUUCCUAUGAUUGAACAUGCGACCAAGGAAUGAAAACUCUUCUCCAGAGAUCUUCAAAAUAGUACAAUAUCAGAUACACAUGCCUGAAUCUGGAUACACUCCACUGCUGAUGGUAAUACUUUCCAGUCACUCACAAACAAUAAGCUUCAGCAUACAAGGCAGAGUCCAAUGCUAUUGGAUUGGGGUGCUGGUAUGCAAUUUCUUGUACAUUUUACUUCUAUAGGACUUCCAAUUACUGGCUACAAACUUUGUACAGGGCAGUCUGAGCUACCACUUGGUGAAGAUGGGAUUCAAUAUGUUCAGUGAUACCCUUUUUUAUGUGUAGGGAAUCACUGAUAUGAUACAACUAUUUGUUAUCUGAAUUUUCGAAUAUAUGUACACCCAUGGUGACGUUUCAAUGCUCAUUUAUAAAGCAUCCAUCUAUGAAUGAAUUUCUGAAUAUUACCACAUGCAAUGUGUAUGUAUGAUGAUAGUAGUACACUUGCGAUGAUGCAAAACACUUAUGAUGAUGUUAUUCAAGUAUUGUACUACAGUUGCAUUCAAGUCAUUUUUUCCGUUGCAACGCACAAGCAUUUGUACAUAUAUAAAUAUAUACAUAUACAACACCCUUAUAAUGUAUACUAAUUAGUCUUUGGUCAAAUAAACUACUUAGCAACUCAGCUUUGCACUUCGCUUUGCCAGCAUUGCCGCCAACACCAAACACAACCAGCCAUCAGAACGUCUCCUCCGCGACCCU